GUAAAGCACUUUCAGUAGGGAGGAAGGUAGUGUAGUUAACACCUGCAUUAUUUGACGUUACCUACAGAAGAAGCACCGGCUAACUCCGUGCCAGCAGCCGCGGUAAUACGGAGGGUGCGAGCGUUAAUCGGAAUUACUGGGCGUAAAGCGCAUGCAGGCGGCCUGUUAAGUCAGAUGUGAAAGACCCGGGGCGUUAACCUCGGAAUUGCAUUUGAAACUGGCAGGCUAGAGUCUUGUAGAGGGGGGUAGGAAGUUUCAGGUGUAGCGGUGAAAUAGCGUAGAGAUCUGAAGGAAUACCAGUGGCGAAGGCGGCCCCCUCGGACAAAGACUGACGCUCAGAUGCGAAAGCGUGGGGAGCAAACAGGAUUAGAUACCCUGGUAG
rnacentral:rRNA from 1 species